rnacentral:rRNA from 1 species
UAUCUGAGAGUAACUGUUCAGAUAGUGACGGUAUUUAACCAGAAAGCCACGGCUAACUACGUGCCAGCAGCCGCGGUAAUACGUAGGUGGCAAGCGUUAUCCGGAUUUAUUGGGCGUAAAGGGAGUGCAGGCGGUUAUUUAAGUCUGAUGUGAAAGCCUUCGGCUUAACCGGAGAAGGGCAUCGGAAACUGGAUAACUUGAGUGCAGAAGAGGGUAGUGGAACUCCAUGUGUAGCGGUGGAAUGCGUAGAUAUAUGGAAGAACACCAGUGGCGAAGGCGGCUACCUAGUCUGUAACUGACGCUGAGGCUCGAAAGCAUGGGUAGCAAACAGGAUUAGAUACCCUGGUAGUCCAUGCCGUAAACGAUGAAUACUAGGUGUUAGGGGGUUUCCGCCCCUUAGUGCCGCAGCUAACGCAAUAAGUAUUCCGCCUGGGGAGUACGACCGCAAGGUUGAAACUCAAAGGAAUUGACGGGGACCCGCACAAGCGGUGGAGCAUGUGGUUUAAUUCGAAGCUACGCGAAGAACCUUACCAGGGCUUGACAUCUUCUGCUAAUCCGAGAGAUCGGACGUUCCCUUCGGGGACGGAAAGACAGGUGGUGCAUGGUUGUCGUCAGCUCGUGUCGUGAGAUGUUGGGUUAAGUCCCGCAACGAGCGCAACCCUUAUGAUUAGUUGCCAGCAUUAAGUUGGGCACUCUAAUGAGACUGCCGGUGACAAACCGGAGGAAGGUGGGGACGACGUCAAAUCAUCAUGCCCCUUAUGUCCUGGGCUACACACGUGCUACAAUGGAUGGUACAACGAGCAGCGAAGUCGCGAGGCCAAGCAAAUCUCUUAAAGCCAUUCUCAGUUCGGACUGUAGGCUGCAACUCGCCUACACGAAGUCGGAAUCGCUAGUAAUCGCGGAUCAGCAUGCCGCGGUGAAUACGUUCCCGGGUCUUGUACACACCGCCCGUCACACCAUGAGAGUUUGUAACACCCAAAGUCGGUGGGGUAACCUUCGGGAGCCAACCGCCUAAGGUGGGACAGAUGAUUAGGGUGAAGUCGUAACAAGGUAGCCGUAGGAGAACCUGCGGCUG